rfam:Daphnia pulex DAPPTscaffold_359_Cont9015, whole genome shotgun sequence.
AGCAGAGUGGCGCAGCGGAAGCGUGCUGGCCCCAUAACCCAGAGGUCCGUAGAUAGAAACUACGCUCUGCUA